rnacentral:rRNA from 1 species
UACGUAGGUGGCGAGCGUUAUCCGGAUUUAUUGGGUGUAAAGAGGGCGCAGGCGGCUUUGCAAGUCGGAUGUAAAAUCUCCCAGCUUAACUGGGAGGGACCAUGCGAUACUGUUAAGCUUGAGGACAACAGAGGGAGGUAGAAUUCCCGGUGUAGUGGUGAAAUGCGUAGAUAUCGGGAGGAAUGCCAGUGGCGAAGGCGGCCUCCCAGGUUGUUGCUGACGCUUAAGCCCGAAAGCGUGGGGAGCAAACAGG